CCUCAUAAUAGCCGUGCACCUGUCUCUUAAGUAAUCCCCUCAAUGUUAAAGCAAGUGUUUGCCUGCAAUUAAAGGCAACGUCUGUGCACCCGUGGACUUGGGUCUGAAGUAUUUCCCCUAAUGGCGACGCUAGCUUUGGUCUUCGGCUGGAGUUUGACCAAGAGCACAACUGGCCUCUCCUUGUGGCCAGUGCGCUUCCCAGUCUAUAGAGCCACCCGUUGGUAGACCAUCGCAGACGAAGAUGUUAAGGCCCGCCAGGGGACUCUUGAGAUACUUGGCCGCGCGCCCCACACAAGAGGGACAUGUGCUAGAAAGCCCACCCCGUGGUGCAUUGCGGUAGAGAUUUUUUUUCGACUUGUCUUGCAUUUGAGUUCUUUUCUUCAGAGAGGUGAGCUAAGAUGGACAAGUUGAAAUUAAACAUGAAAGCCAAACUUUGGUUUUAAUCUAGC